GAUGAACGCUGGCGGCGUGCUUAACACAUGCAAGUCGAACGAUUAAAGCCCCUUCGGGGGUGUAUUAAGUGGCGAACGGGUGAGUAACACGUGGGCAAUCUGCCCCUCACUUCGGGAUAACUCAGGGAAACUUGAGCUAAUACCGGAUACUCCGAACUGCUCGCAUGGUCGGUUCGGGAAAGCUCCGGCGGUGAGGGAUGAGCCCGCGGCCCAUUAGCUUGUGGGUAGGGUAACGGCCUACCAAGGCGACGAUGGGUAGCCGAGCUGAGAGGCUGGUCGGCCACACUGGGACUGAGACACGGCCCAGACCCCUACGGGAGGCAGCAGUGGGGAAUUUUGCGCAAUGGGCGAAAGCCUGACGCAGCAACGCCGCGUGCGGGAUGAAGGCUCUCGGGUCGUAAACCGCUUUCAGCAGGGAUGAAAUUGACAGUACCUGCAGAAGAAGCCCCGGCUAAAUACGUGCCAGCAGCCGCAGUAACAC
rnacentral:rRNA from 1 species